AGUGAACGCUGGCGGCAGGCCUAACACAUGCAAGUCGAACGGCAGCACAGUAAGAGCUUGCGCUUAUGGGUGGCGAGUGGCGGACGGGUGAGGAAUACAUCGGAAUCUACUCUUUCGUGGGGGAUAACGUAGGGAAACUUACGCCAAUACCGCAUACGACCUACGGGUGAAAGCAGGGGAUAUUCGGACCUUGCGCGAUUGAAUGAGCCGAUGUCGGAUUAGCUGGUUGGCGGGGUAAAGGCCCAGCAAGGCGACGAUCCGUAGCCGGUCUGAGAGGAUGGUCGGCCACACUGGAGCUGAGACGCGGUCCAGGUUCCUACGAGAGGCAGCAGAGGGGAAUAUUGGACAAUGGGCGCAAACCUUAUCCAGCCAUACCGCGUGGGUGGAGGAGACCUUCGGGUUGUAAUGCCCUUUUGUUGGGAAAAAAAAGCAGCAGGUUAAUACCCCGCUGUUCUGACGGUACCCAGAAAAUAAGCACCGGCUAACUUCGUG
rnacentral:rRNA from 1 species